rnacentral:misc_RNA from 1 species
UGUGUCACAAAGUUGUGAUUUUUUUUUGUUUCUAGGAAAAGACACGAGUUUUACCAAGUAGGGCGGAGGAAUAUUGAGAUUUGUAUUUGAUUUAGUUGAAGAAUUUGGUUGAGUUUUGAGUUCUGGGGUUUGCAUUUUACAUCGCCCAAGUUGUGAUUUUGGGAAAAGACCUGAGUUUACGAAGUGGUUGGAGGAAUAUUGAGGUUUUUAUUUGAUUUUGUUGAAGAUUUUGGGUUCUGG